rnacentral:lncRNA from 1 species
GGGAGUGCCUGGGAGGAACACACCGAAACCGCAGGAGGAUCUUGGAGUCAGCACCUGUGCCCACCAGCUUUAGACAGGUGGAGAUGGGUGAGGUUGGAGCUCAUGACUGGCUGAUCUCGUUUUAGGCUGUUGGACUCUGAGACUGGUUGGGGUAGAAACCAAGAGCAGAGAAGAAAGCAGAGAGAAAGACGCAUGGAUGACAGAGCAGAAACUGAAGUCACGUGGGGGAGACACAGACACAUGAACCAGGAGUCAGUGCCUGCAGUCACCUGGCAGAGACAUGUGAGAACAGCAGCAAGCAUCUCAGGCAGGCUUCCAGAGUGCGU